rnacentral:piRNA from 1 species
UGACAGAAUAGUUUCUCAGGCCUGUGGU